UGCACAUAUUGUGUGUGUUCAGGUGACAUAAGACGAAAAGAGAAGUAGUAAAAGCGAAAGAAAAGACAUACAGUGAGCUGUACAAGACGUUAAUAGUAAGGAAGGAGAAAAGGACUUGUACCAAUUGGCCAGACAAAGGGACAGAGCUGGAAAGGAUGUGCAGCAGGUUAGGACUGUAAAAGAUGCAGAUGGUA